rnacentral:lncRNA from 1 species
ACAGACUGAUUGCAGUGCUUAAGCUCUCAAAGUCUGGUGAACUACCAAAACAAUCCAACGAUGCUUAAAACAAGGUAAAACAAGAGGAGGCCACUGAUAUGCUCAACCUAUCCUCCUCUCCUACUUGAAAAGAUUAGGGCGGGAAGCCUUGUAGGUAGUCUUCAACUUUCUGGAAGGGGGCCUGACUUUCUUGAAGACGAGAGGGAACUUGAUUUUUGAGUCAUGGAAUUGCUUGGUGCUUUCACGCUUACACAGCUUGGAAGGUAUGGUGGCUGUCUUGAUGAUCUGGAUGCAGUGCUGCCUGACUCUGUGGCGGGAUGCCAUCUCAUUGUACAUCUGCUCCACGGCACCGUUCAGAGUGGUGUCCCUGUACUCCUUGUACAUGUUGUGGUAACCUGUUCUGCUCUGGUACCGCAGCCAGACACCGUAGUUCUUGAUCUUUGUUGGUUUCCUCUCAAAUAUCUGAAACAGCAUAAAAUUAGCUCCAGCACAACAUUGCAUCAUUAGUAGGCAAUGCUGUCUUAAGCAGAAACUUUUG